CACUGUGUUCAACCAUCCAGUCAAUAAGAAGUGCUGCUGUGAAGAGAACCAUCCUCACACUGAAUGCUGAACAUCAGCUACUUCCUGCUGCUGAUUUAAACCUUGUUGUAGAGAUGGAACAUUGGCUGUGGAUUAUUCUUGCUGCUCUCUCCUUUGAGUGUAAAGGACAAGACACAGUGACCCAGCCAGCAGGAGAUGUCAGCGCUACUGAAGGAGACACAGUUACACUUGACUGCACAUUUGAGACAUCUAAUACAGCCUUUCUGUUCUGGUACAAACAAGAAGUCAAUGGUUACCCAAAGUACAUGCUGAUGCGUUUCUCGGGAACUGGAGAUAAUGCUGAAGAGUUCCAGAAAGACAGAUUUGAUGCUACACUCAACAAGACAUCAGUUCCUCUGCAGAUCUCCCCUGCUGCAGUGACAGACUCUGCUGUGUACUACUGUGCUCUGAGGCCCACAGUGACAGGAAACAACUGCCUUUGGAUCUGUUACCCAGGAGGAAGCUGGAGGGGAGCACGCGGGCCAAAGCCAUUCUGCAGCAAUUGA